UCUUGACAACUCUAGAGAGAGCAGCCAUGAUGGCCACUUGGCAAAUACAACUACUGUUAACGGAUCUAUUUUGAAACCUGUAAUUUUAGCUUUGACAUACACUUAUGCCAUGCAUAUGUUCUCUUUGCAUUUGGGGUAGGGUGCUAUGUAGAUACCAAGGUUGCUUGUUCCAUGUACCCAGCAUAUUCUGUAUGAUUCUUGUCUUGCUCAUCUCCUCAGUGAACCCUUGUAUCCAUGCUGUUGCAACAUGUCUGUACUUACACUUCUCUGCUCUGAGGAAAGGACAGGAUGGAGCACUGUUUUUACCUGACUCACUUUGCUUCACCAGCUGACAAAGUUGCUGACUUGAAACAUUUUGUUAGGCAAGUCAUUAGAGAAGCUCCAGUGAGAGACUGAAAAGCAGUCAUCAGAGUAUGGAGUUAAUUUCCACCCAGCCAUAUGCCUGGUGACACCAAAUAAGUAGUAAUUCAUCCUUGUUAAUCUAGGAACUUUAUUAAAUAAUGUUCCUUAAAAGACCCAUUGACUAAGAGAAAAUUGAUUUGUACUUUGGGGUUUAAAAAUUACUUUUAGCUUUUACAGCUGAUAUGUCAUAUCUUUGGACUUUUAAACUAAAAGAUACUCCAAAUAUGCUUUGUAAAUGUUAGGCAUCUAGUAUAUUUCAUUUAAAUGCCUCAGUUAGUGAAUGCAUUAAUGAGUCUUAGACCCUAUGCUGAAAGCUGGGAAUGAGGAGAGAGACAAAAUGAAUGAUACUCAAACUCUAGUCAGGCUGACUGAAGUAAGUAUUGUGUUAAGGAACAAGGUUCACCCUUGAAGGGACACAAGUAGGUGGAAUUGAUUGAAAAUGAAGGGGGGGUGCUUCCCUGGUGGCGCAAGGGGUUAAGGCGCAGGGAGCCACUGUGGCACAAGUUUGGUCCCCAGCCAGGGAGGUGGCCCACAUGGCACGGAUGACCUCUCCUGUCUCGCCUGCUGCUCCAGUGUGUUUCAGUAGAUCUGCCUGUUCUGCUCCCCACUCUGGUGAAUCCUCUCACCCCCUGCACCUCUGGCCUGUACCCCAGUUCUUGUAUGCAUAAAUAAAUCUUUAAAAGAAAAUGAGGGUUUCACAGUGGAUACGUAUUUGGAAACGAUAUAGGAAGGGUAUUUCCAGGUUCAGGGAAAGGCCCAGAGGCUUAAAAAUGCAUGCAUAGACAAGGUAUGAGAGAUGGGUGUGGGUAUAUGAAGAGAGAAUAUAGUGGGCAAUAAGACUGAAAAGGUGAAAACCAUAACUGAAGCAUUUUGGAGGAGUUAUGUUCAUUUUAAAAGCGGUAGGAGCUUGUCAGGGGAAUAAUACAACCAUACCUUUGUAUAGGCGGUUAAGAGUAAGUCUGGUUAGCCUAGAGUUAUAGAGAUUGGUGUCUGGAGAGUCAAAGAUAAUCAUUUGAGAGAUUUGAGUCCUUUUUGUACAGUGGGAUGGAAAAAGUGCCCUUUUGUUUUAAUUCAAGGUGGUAGCAGGACAUUCCUUGCUUUACUUCCAAGAGAACAAUUAUCCAGAAGUGGGACAUUAGUGAGAAUUCCACAGCAAAUUGGUGAGGCUGAAGCAUCUCCUGCACCACAGAGAACAACACAGACUGCAUUAGGAGGAAAGUUGAGACUGACAUAGCAGUGUGAUAGAAGAUGAUGUAAGUUGGCAAUUAGCUGUGUAUGCUUCUGACAGUUACUCUAUGAGGGCAUCCUGUGCGCCUAUCUUCUACUGAUAUUUCGCUCUAGAAUCUCUUGGAUGGAAGAACAUCUUACUCCUAGUUAACAGUGCCUGGGAAGUAGGCAUUCAGCCAAGGAAUGUGGAUAUACGGACUCCAUUCUGAAGCCCUGUUCAGAAUGAAAUCGUUCUGAAGUGUGAAAUGAAUGAGAUUCAUGCCUGCUCCAUCAUUCAACACUCAGGUA